ensembl:lncRNA
GGUGUGAGGGGCGUUUAGGGAAUGGGUUUUGUUGGGAGAAGUUUGGAGCGGGAUGAGGAGGGGGAUUUGGGGGAAUGGACGAGCAGGAUUUUUGCCCGUGGGAUUUGUGCUGGGUUUUGGCAAGCGGAUCUCAGGGAUGGACUUUCCUGAGGGAGGGGGCUUUGGGAAGUGGUUCUGAGGGAAUGGGAUUUUGGAGUGCUUUCAGGGGAACUCGCAGAGAUCCGAUUUUGUGGGAAUGGGAUUUCCCAGUGGGUUUUAGGGGGAGCGAGCUCCGGGAUAUGCUCUCCCAGGGAAGUGGGGAGGUGUUUUUUGGGAAAACACAUUUUGGAGGAGGUUUCUGUGCUGAGGGAUGCAGGGCCAGUCCCGGGAGCUGCGGGAAGAGCCAGAGCAGCGCUUUGGGGCCCUGUGGGUGUGCUCGGGUGGUGGGACCCCCAUUCCCAAAGUUCCCCCAGCUCUGUUUUCAUGGAAGAUCCAGCUCCGAGUGUUUCGGAGCCUCCCCGUGCGCUCGGGGGCGGUGCCAAAGGAGCGGCGACAGCCGGGUGUGACACCGGGGACCCCCGGAGCCAUCCCUGCCGAGCCACCCGAGCACCCCAGGGAUCCAAACCCCUCCCAAGCGCCUGGAAUUGUUGGGAAUUCUCGCCCCCCUCCGCUCAGGGCAGCGCCCAGCCCGGAGAUGCUCCGGAGCAGUUUCCCACGGCCCCGUUUCCCGGAAUGCGGAGCGGGGCCGGGAUUGCCGGGAGAGCAGUGACACCUAGUGACACUCGGGAUAUCGGGACACCGGGAUCCGGACACCGGGACACCGGGAUCCGGACACCAGGAUACCGGGAUAUCGGGAUCCAGGCACUGGGACACCGGGGUAUCGGGACACCGGGAUAUCGGGACACCGGGAUACCGGGACACCGGGAUACCGGGAUACCGGGAUCCAGGCACCGGGACGCGGGAAUGAGCCCGGGAGCCGGGACGGGCACAGCCGUGGGCUCCGGGCAGCCCCUUCCCCACCGCUUCCCUUUUCCAAGGGCACAGAUCCCAUUGCUGAAUUCCCAGGAGCCCGGGACAGCCCCGCAGAGCUCCGCCGCCUUCCUUGAGCUUCAGAUUCCCGGGAAUCCCUGGCUGGAAUCACAGAGCGCGGAACGGUUUGGGAUUGGGAGGGACUUUAAAUCCCAUCCCAUUCCACCCUUUCCAUGGACAGGGAUUCCUGCCCCCAUCCCAGGCUGGCCGGGACCUCCUGCAGCCACCACACCUCCCUUUGGGAAUAAUCCUGGCAAUCCCAGUGCCUGAGGAAAACCUGGGAAUCUCUCCCAGGAAACUUUAGGGCCCUGGAAGCUUUGAUUUUCUCUAUUAUUUUUCCUCACGUUUUUCCCUAUAUGCUUUUCCUUAUGUUUUCACUUUGGUUGUGAUCGGAAUUUGUUCUGCUCUGAGAUAUGCACACAAAAAUCGGGAAUUUUGGAUUUGGGAAAGGAUUGUGUCAGGAUCCCUUUCAUCCCAGGAUGCCAGCAGGGCCAACAUCCCACUCCAGGAUCCUCCUUUUUGGGAAAAUCCCCCGCUUUGUUCUGCUCCAGUUAUAAAAGUGGGAAAAGCAGGAAUGAAAGGGUGGAGAACAAUCCCACGGAUGGGUGGGAUGUGGAGCUGCUGAGUGACUCCAGAGGCCAUGGAGGUGGAUUUUUUAAGCUUCCCAUAAAUUUGGGAUCAUGGGAUAGUGUAGGAAACUCUGGAAAUUCCCAGAGCAGCAGGGACAGUUUUAUAUAAAGAACAAUUCCAAU